ensembl:lncRNA
AUACAGCAGUCGGCUUAACAGGCAGCUCUCUUUUAACACAGACUUUUAAGAAGGGAUGGAUAUUUGCGUCAAGUGAUAGGCCAGGUUGGACAUUUCAAGUGGACAACCUCUGACGCUUAAUCUGCUCAUGUGGAAAAAGGAGUUUUGUGAGGGAUGACAAGCCCACAAUGUUCUCAGGAGAUGAAAAAACAGAUGGCCACCCUCAGCAAGACAUGAACAGAGGAGAUUUGAAAACAUCUUGGGGCCCAGCAGCUAGUAGGUUCUCAGUCUGCGGAGCUUCCACAACAAUCACAAAUAGCAGAGUUGUGCUGCAUAAAUAGCUUUUAGACAAAAUACCUAAUGUCCAAAAUGCAUAAACUACUGUUAUUCAGUGAGUUUUUCUACAACAAGACAGAAAAUGUUCAGAUUUACAUAGUUUAGGUGGUUUUGAACAUGG